UUCAGAUAAUUAUUAAAAUACU
rnacentral:miRNA from 1 species